rnacentral:rRNA from 1 species
CGACCUGAGAGGGUGAUCGGCCACACUGGAACUGAGACACGGUCCAGACUCCUACGGGAGGCAGCAGUAGGGGAAUACUUCCGUCCGAACUAGGUACGGGAAACGGUAACGUUCGUACGGGAACGGGACGAACCGAACCCGGCCCGGUCGGUAGGUAGGUAGUAGUAAGGGUUUUAACGGGGUUUACGGUACGUUAAAACCGUUAAACCUUCGUUUAGUUUAAGGGUAAAGGGAAACGAAAACUAAGUUGGUUAAGGUUAAACGUUACGUUGGUCGACCAACUACUUCGUACGGGUAACCGUUAACUACUACGAAAGAACCGACCGACGUAACUAACGUACGUCGACGGUACGGUACGACGGUAACGUUAACGUACGGUAGGGUCGAACGACGGUUACGUUACCGGUAACGGUUAAUUUAGGGUCGGGUAAAACGGUAACGGCCGGCCGGUACGGGUACGGGGUUUUUAACGGUUUUACGUCGUAGUAGUUGGUAAAGGAACCCGAACCGGAACGGACCAACCGAACGGGGAAGGGUAAGGUAGG